GGACCCCCGGCCGGUGACACCAUGCCUGGGCCUCGCUUGGCCAUGCUACCUGCUGCAGGAGACUGCCCACUCAUUUGGCCCACCCCAGUUGAGUCUGGCUUGCCCACUGCUUCCUGAGUUCUCUUCUAGUGUCCAAGAAGAAUGAGGAUGCUGACAAUCGAAGAGUAUACAAGCCUGUUAAUAUGAUGGAUUUCACUGACUGACUUUCAUACAUUGAACCAGAUUGCAUCACUGGAAGAAACUCCACUUGGUUAUGAUACAGUCUCUCUCUGUUACACAGGCUGGAGUGCAGUGGCACGAUCUGGAUUCACUGCAUCCUCGACCUCCCAAGCUCAAGCGAUCCUCUCACCUCAGCAUCUGAGUAGCUGGGACAACAGGCGCCACACCACCACACCCGGCAUUGAUAAACCUUGGCUGUUGCUUCAAAUAUAAAUGAUUCUAGAACAUCAGAAUAACUAGUAACAGUAAGAUUACUCAAAUAAGCAAAUAAAAUCAAAGAAGCUCCUGGUUCCUGGCACACAGCUCCUAACACCAUUGGAAUCUCUGGAGUGAAAAGAGUGUCUUUUGUAAGUGAAUGAGAUGACUGAAGGUCGGGGGCCUGUAGAUAGCCCCUUCUCCUAUACCUCGACCUAUACAUCUCUUCCAUGUUUCUUUCAUCUGUAUGCUUUGUAACAUUCUUUAUAAUAAACAAGUAAGUGUAAGUGCUUCCUGAGUUCUGUGAGCUGCUCUAGCAAAUCAGUUGAACCUGAAGAAGGGGUCUUGGGAACCCCUGAUUUACGGCUGGUCGGUCAGAAGCACAGGUAAAACAACUGGGGGCUUGCAGCUGGCAUCUGAGGUGAGGGGAAGCCUUGUGGAACUUAGCGCUUGGCAUGUGGGAUCUGAUACUCUCUCUAGGUAGAUAGCAUCAGAGUGGAACUGAGAGAGGACACCCCGCUGCUGUCUGCUGGAGAACUGAUUGGUGUGUGGAAUCUGGUUUUAGAAGUAUUAUAUUGAGUGGUAUGUGAAAGUAGGAAACACACUUCAUUUUUUUUCCAUCUUUAUAAUAUUUACAUAGUUUUCCGGCACUUCUGGGUAUAGCUAUUUCUAGCUAUUUGAAUGUAGGAAAUGCUUCCAAGAAUGCCUCUCACUUUUUAAAAAAAUUGAGAGAUAACUCACAUACCAUAAAAUUGACCUUUAAAGUAUACAGUCCAGUGGUUUUAGUAUAUUCACAAGAUUGUGCAACUAUCACAACUAAUUCUAGAACAUUGUCAUUACCCCCUACAAAGAAUUCCAUUAGUAGUCACUGCCCAUUCUUCCUUCCCCCACUGCCAGCUUCUCCAUUUUAAUCUACUCCUAUUUUUUUGUCUCUAUGGAUGUGCCUAUCCUGGACUUUUCAUAUAAAUAGAACCAGCCAGGUGUAGUGGCUCAUGCCUGUAAUCCCAGCACUUUGGGAGGCUGAGACAGGCAGAUCACACAAGGCCAGGAGUUCGAGACCAGCUUGGGCAACAUGGUGAAACCCCGUCUCCACUAAAAAUGCCAAAAUUAGCCAGGUGUGGGUGGUGCACGUCUGUAAUCCCAGCUACUCGGGAGGCUGAAGCAUGAGAAUUGCUUGAACCCAGGAGGUGGAUGUUGUAGUGAACCCAGAUUGUGCCGUUGCACUCCAGCCUGCGUGACAGAGCAAGACCUUCUGUGUCUGGCUUCUUUCUGUUAGCACAUUUGCAAGAUUCAUUUAUGUUAUACCAUGAGUCAAUACUUUAUUCCUUUUUAUGGUUGAAUAAUAUUCCAUUUCAUUUCUCCAUUCAUCAGUUGAUGGACACUUGGGUUGCUUCCAGAAAUAUUCUCUCUGACCAACGUGUUAACUAACCCAAUGAGAAGGUCUAGGGCCAGAGGGAGUAUCAUACUAUGAACAAGGUCCAGGAUGCCUGAUGUUAGAAGUGUGAGGGUUGUGGAGAAAGAACAAGUUUGAAAUACCCGGAGUCAGAAGCUGCCAUGAUGCAGGAAUGACUAAAUCUAUCUUUUCUCUCUAUAGAAAAUGAAAUUGCAAAAUUGUUGUUAAGUGAAGAGAUUAUCAAAAUAUUUACAGUUCCCAAAUGUAGAAAACAUGGAGGUGUCAGAUAGUUAAGAUAUCUUGUUUUUCUGAGUUUCGAUAUAUUUUUAGUAAUUAUCAGUUUUUUCAAAAUGUGUAACUUAUGGUUUAUCUUCCUUUAUUUAUUUAUUUAUUGUUAUUAUUCUUUAGAGAUGGAGUCUCGCUCUGUCACCCAAGCUGGAGUGCAGUGGCGUGAUCUCUGCUCACUGCAAGCUCUACCUCCCAGGUUCACACCAUUCCCUUGCCUCAACCUCCUGAGUAGCUGGGACUACAGACACCCGCCACCACGCCCAGCUAAUUUUUUUGUAUUUUUAAU
rnacentral:lncRNA from 10 species